rnacentral:piRNA from 1 species
UGGCGUAUGCAGACGUUGCUUCUAGAGA